GACGAACGCUGGCGGCGUGCCUAAUACAUGCAAGUCGAACGCACUCUCGUUUAGAUUGAAGGAGCUUGCUCCUGAUUGAUAAACAUUUGAGUGAGUGGCGGACGGGUGAGUAACACGUGGGUAACCUGCCCUAAAGUGGGGGAUAACAUUUGGAAACAGAUGCUAAUACCGCAUAAAACCUAACACCGCAUGGUGUAGGGUUGAAAGAUGGUUUCGGCUAUCACUUUAGGAUGGACCCGCGGUGCAUUAGUUAGUUGGUGAGGUAAAGGCUCACCAAGACCGUGAUGCAUAGCCGACCUGAGAGGGUAAUCGGCCACACUGGGACUGAGACACGGCCCAGACUCCUACGGGAGGCAGCAGUAGGGAAUCUUCCACAAUGGACGAAAGUCUGAUGGAGCAACGCCGCGUGAGUGAAGAAGGUUUCGGAUCGUAAAACUCUAGUUGUUGGAGAAGAAUGUAUCUGAUAGUAACUGAUCAGGUAGUG
rnacentral:rRNA from 1 species